ACUGCUGGGAGGGUAGAAAACAUUUCCCUGAUGAUAUUAUAAUAUUGUUGAAAUGCAAUUCCCUGAGUAGGCUGAGUAAUUUCAAAUCCUAUGUCCUGACUAAGAUAUUUAAUUUGAAAUUAUUUAAGUGGUUACUUGGCUGAAAGGGAUUCUGAAAACAAGAUCUACUUAUGAGUCUUCAGGCUAAGGAAACAUUCUAGUGAAUUUAAUUAAGGAUGAGAUUCUUUACCAGCUUCAAUCCAUUAAGUAACCUGCAGGUUUGUAUCUUGGUAAUUAAUGUCUGCUGAUUAAUACAGUAAUCAUGGCCACAUUUGCAGCAAAUAAGGACAAACAACAAUUUCAACACAGUGUAUACAGAGGUUAUUUUUUUUCCCUCUCCUUUUAAGGAUCUCCUGGAUGUAUUUAUACAUUUUACUAAUAGAGCUGAUACUGCUUAUCUCAUAAAUCUACACAGUGUUAUAUGCUGGUGUUCUAAGAUUGAGCAAGAUGCAGUAGAGGAGGCUGUCUGACAAUUUUUAUCAGUAAAAUGUUCUGAUAAGGGAAGUGGGCUUUUAUUUCUCCUUGUUGUGUCUCCUAAAAGGCUUUGAGAUUCUAUUUUUGAAAAAGGAAUUACAAAAAGGGAAUGGUUUUACUUGGGAGUUUGUUUCAUGACAUUGGUCCUUCCAAAAGCAAUCUAUUGACAUAACUGGGAAGAGUUGGAAGAAUGCUGAAAAAUGAUUCUGCAAAAUGAUCUACGCUCACCACAGGUGUUCAUUCCCUAUCUCUCACCACACCCACAGCUGGGAAUUGCUCAGGAUGUCUGUAAUAAAGGAAGCUGGAGAAAACAAGGUGAGAGUAUAGGAGGGGCAAUAUCAACCACUGUAUCAGGUUCCCUGCUACAUCACAUCAGAGGAAGUCCUGCCAAGAAAAUGAAGAAAAGGUUUGUUCUGAAGUCUCCUUUCUAAUAUAUUUACAUAUACAGAUAUAGAUAUGCAGGCCAUGCAGCAGUGGAGUAGUUUGUUCCUAUACUUUUCCAUUCUAGAUUUGAGCGCUCAGGAUCAGGGUGUAAAUGAGACAAUCAGUCCAUGAGAGUGGAACGACACGCAAGGGAAAACAGCAUAAAUUAGCACAAUCUUCAAAUCCCUCAGACUUACCCCAGCAGCAAGAAAGUCUUUUGACAGACAGAACAGCCUGGAGCUCUUGCCCUGGAAGACUGGCUGGUAUCCUCUGAGUCUCUGCAGUUCCUAGGACUCAAGCGAGUGUGUACUAAGAAAGAGGACACCCACCUGCUGUUAAAUGGGCAGCAUGGACAAGGACUCGAACCCCUGGCUUCAACUCAAAAUGGACGAAGUUUUGGUUCAGUUU